CCAUGGUGACGAGGCUGGCGGAAGGGACAGAGAGGUGGACAGAGGAGGCAGAUCUGAGGGAACGGGAAGGGGUGGCAAUGUGGAGGAGUUCGGACAGAUAAGGAGGGGAAAGGUUGUGGAUGGCCUUGAACGUAAACAGGAGGAUUUUGAAGUCGAUGCAGAGUUUGACCGGGAGCCAGUGGAGUUGCUGCAGAACAGGGGUGAUGUGGUGGAUGGAGGGGGUUCUGGUGAUGAUCCGAGCUGCAGAGUUCUGAACCAGUUGGAGUUUAUGGAGGUAUUUGUGAGGUAGACCAAAGAGAAGGGAGUUGCAGUAGUCGAUGCGGGAGGUGACAAGGCUGUGUACAAGAAUGGCAGUGGAGUGGGGAGAAAGGGAGGGGCGGAGGCGAUUUAUAUUGCGUAGGUGGAAGUAUGCAGACCGGGUGAUGUUAUUGAUAUGGGAUUGGAAUGAUAAUGUGCUGUCGAGGAUGACACCCAGACUCUUAACCUGGCAGGAGGGGGAGACAGAGGAGUAUUGUGUAUGUGACUGAUCGCCAGCUCCGGAGCAUACAGUCACCGGUCUGAUACAAUCACAUACAGCGGCAGUUUAUUCAGCUCCCUGCGCGCUGCUGGCGAUCAGCGGUUCUGCACAGAGAGUGCAGUACAGUUUCACAAAACUGUAUUUACAGAACAUGUCCAGGUUUAUAUGUGUUCAUACAGACAUAUGAGAGCUUUGCUUUUCAUGCAAAGACUUGAAAAAAGAAGGAAAGAAAAGAAAAGUGUGAUCUUUUUUAACAAUGUGUUUCUGACCCCACAGCUACAAGCAGCACUGAGAAGCUGCUGCCGAAAAGUGAGAGAAAAUAAAUAACAAAUACAUCACCGUUCCUUUGUUCACGGAAUCAUUUCAUCCACUGGAACAAGGAGUGAUGUCACCAAAGAACAAACAACACGUGGCAACAUUUGAAAACAUCAAUGACAAAUCUUCAUCAUUGUCAACACUUAUUUCAACACAACUCUAAAUACAUAUUGACUAUAUAGACUUUCUUUUCAUUCUCUGUGUCGUGAACUAUGGCUGAGCAGAACCAGGGACUCAAAUGCAGGACUCAGAACACGAAUCAGUCAGUAACAGAGUUUAAUUUCAGGCAGAGGUUCAGUACACGGGAGGUCAACAAGAGAUCAGGCAGAGGUACAAAAGCGUCAGGCAAAAAGGCAAGGUCAAAAAAGGCAGGCAAGGUUCAAAAACACGAGAAGGCAAGACUAUGGCUGUGAAAAAGAGUGCUGGAACGUGAGCUAUGAACUACAACGAACUGGCAACGAGACAAGACACAGAGGGGAAUAAAAGCAGUGCUUGAUUAGGGAGUGAUAGGAUGCAGGUGUGGUAGACACAAUCAGGGAUCAGGUGCACGCAGACAAGGAAGGGGGCGGGGUAGACAGGAACCUGAAACAGAGACAAGGGUGAGUGAUUUCAAAAUAAAACAGGAGGACAAGACAUGGAACAUGAAGGGAGAAACAAAACAAGAUACUUAACGUAAGUGACAGAUCAUGACACUCUGGUUGUGUAAAAUCACUGGGGACAACAGUGUAAGUCCAUCAGCGUCGUUCAAUUCCCACAUUUACAACGUGGUAUAGAGACUGUAGAUUAGCUGCAGGUGUCAUUGUGCUUUUAUAUGUGGCACAAUGUUUUGCCUCUUUACUCAACAAGAUAGAAAAUGAUUGGACACAUUUCCACCUGGUUUGUGUUGCAUCUCUAAACUCACUGUUAGUUCCAUUUGCAGAAAAUCUCUUUCUUCACUAUAUACACGAUGCCACAUGUUAAUAAUAAUAAUCACAUAUUCAGUGAUGUAUCGGCUGUAGAUCCAAGACACAAACACACAUUAAACAAUAAGCAUCAGUGCUCAUCUGAUUUUCCAGUUAAAUAUUUGGCUUGUAUAUAUCUUUCGAAACUUUAAAUGUUAAAAAUAAAUAUUUUAUUUUUAGGAUCUGAGUGAUAAUUAUCAAUAACAUGUUUAUUGCUGUUAUAAUAUCCUAAUAUAUGUUUUGGUGUGUUGAUUGUAUUUUAAUCAAAUGAGUUAAUACAAAAGGUGUGUGGUUUUUAAAUUGAAUUAUUAUUUUUACGUGUUUUGGUUAAAUGAAUUAACGUUAUAAUAAGUUGCACUGUUAUUUCUUUCCUUUUUUUACUUGUAUCUUGCUUUUCAAUAUUCAAUAAAUCCCCUGAUUUUCCAAAUUUA